rfam:Schistosoma mansoni strain Puerto Rico chromosome 3, complete genome
AUCCAGCUGACGAGUCCCAAAUAGAACGAAAUGUGUGUCCUGGAU